UGCCUUCAAUGUACACUGUAUGCUAACUGUAACACAAAUGUAUUAAUCAUUAUUUUUCUUUCCUCCCCCAGCUCAAGAAGAUGACACAGCUCAAAAUAAAAAUUAGGUAUAUUCUCGUAAAGUCAAGUGAGCCAUGACAUAUGAGCUCUUAUUGUGAGCACACAGGACGGUGGCAUCUUUCUAAGUUUUUUUAUUUUCCCAGCAAUCAGUACAACCAAGUCAUCGUUAUAAGGCACGCCCUCUUUUGCCCACCCCCAGCACCAGGUGUGGCCACUAGCCUAUAUGAAGGCCCAAAAUUGUGUGUUCCUUUCUGCUCUGACAAUGGCAUGCCCAUUCGUGCGAGAUGUGGUGGAUGAAGAAGCACUUGUGCUGAGGAGAGCCUUCAGGCGAGAAAGGGUCUUCAGGGACCGGUUGGACCCACUGGCCUUCCCUGAUGACCAUCUAUAUGAAAGAUACAGGUUUUCUGCAGAUGGCAUCAGGUAUCUAUGCAGACUACUGGGUCCCAGGAUUAAGCACCGCACUGCACGGAGCCAUGCACUGAGUGUGGAGCAAAUGGUUUGUGUGGCCUUGCGCUUUUUGCUAGUGGAGCCUUCCUGUACUCAGUGGGGGAUGCAGAACAGCUGAACAAGGCCACAAUUUGCCGCACAAUAAGGAGUGUGUGUCUGGCUAUCAAAGCAUUAGCAGAUGUCUUCAUCUCCUUCCUGGCCACAGAAGACUCUGUGACAUCAAAGAGGAGUUCUAUAGGAUUGCAGGUAAGAGGAUCUACAAAUUACAGGACAACUGUUAACACAUAGUAGGAUACUCAUUACUUUGUGUGACAGGUUUCCCCAAUGUCAUUGGUGCAGUGGACUGCACACACAUAAGGAUAAAGCCCCCUCAGGUGCCCAUGAGGCCGAUUUUGUGAAUAGGAAAUCCUUUCACAGCAUUAAUGUUCAGGUGAACAUAACUUUUGAUAUUGUCCAUUGACGAACACUCUGCAUUGCCAGUGAUGUGCAUUGAUUGGUGUAAUAUUCCUCAUCUUAUGAUUUCAGAUGGUCUGCAAUGCUGACUGUGUGAUCAGCAAUGUUGUGGCAAAAUGGCCUGGCUCAGUCCAUGACUCCAGAAUCUUUCGGGCCUCUGAAAUCUAUCAGUGCCUAUCACAAGGUGAAUUCUCUGGUGUGUUGCUGGGAGACAGGGGGUAUGGCUGCCAGCCUUUUCUCCUGACACCUUUCACAGACCCCCAGGAAGCACAGCAGGCCUACAACCAUGCCCAUGCCAGGACCAGGGCCAGAGUUGAAAUGACCUUUGGCCUCCUGAAGGCACGCUUUCACUGCCUUCACAAAUUAAGGGUCAGCCCUGUUAGGGCAUGUGAUAUUACUGUGGCUUGUGCUGUCCUCCACAAUGUGGCCUGCCUGAGGAAGGAGAGGGCCCCAGAGUGCCACCAGCCAUGGACUGGGACAAUCCGGCAAUCUUCCCUGAUGACGACAGUGGUCGGCUGCUGAGGGGCCAAUAUGUGUUGAAUUAUUUUAGUUAGUAUGUGUGCUUUCAAUUUUGGUUAAAUAUGUCCUGCGGUGGCAGAGGAAUUUGGGUUUUUUUUUGGGUUCGUUUUUUGACGAAUUUGGCCUCUUAUGAUGUUUGUGCGGUAUACUGUGUGUAAUACAAGGCUGCAGGAGGCUACUGCAUCCAUUCAUUUGUCUGUUCAGUUGAUGUGUAUGGAUUUGUCCUGCAUUUAUUUUAGUGUGCAGACAUGCAGGGUGUGUUAUAUACAGACCUUUGAAUGUGUAUGUAUCAUUUUGUAUAAUAUGCUUGGAUUCUGUGCUUUCCAUCUUGUAGAGUCACUGUGACUUCAGUUUCGAAAGGAGCUGAUGGUUUACCUGCUUUGUUUUGUCCUUAUUCAAUAAAGGAACAUAAUGUUACACAUUGUGUUUUUAUAUUCA